UACGGAGGGUGCAAGCGUUAUCCGGAUUUACUGGGUUUAAAGGGUGCGUGGGUGGAUUUGUAAGUCAGUGGUGAAAUCUCCGAGCUUAACUCGGAAACUGCCCUUGAUACUAUAAGUCUUGAAUCAUCUGGAGGUAAGCGGAAUAUGUCAUGUAGCGGUGAAAUGCUUAGAUAUGACAUAGAACACCAAUUGCGAAGGCAGCUUACUGCCGAUGUAUUGACACUGAUGCACGAAAGCGUGGGGAUCAAACAGG
rnacentral:rRNA from 1 species